rnacentral:misc_RNA from 1 species
AACUUUCGGCAACGGAUCACUUGGCUCUCGCAUCGAUGAAGAACGCAGCGAAAUGCGAUAAGUAGUGUGAAUUGCAGAAUUCAGUGAAUCAUCGAAUCUUUGAACGCACCUUGCGCCCUUUGGCUAUUCCGAAGGGCAUGCCUGUUUGAGUAUCAUGAACACCUCAACUCUCAUGGUUUUGCCAUGAUGAGCUUGGACUUUGGGGGUCUUGCUGGCCUAUGGUCAGCUCCUCUUAAAUGAAUCAGCUUGCCAGUGUUUGGUGGCAUCGCAGGUGUGAUAACUAUCUACGCUUGUGGCUUUCCAUCAAGUAACCUUCAGCGAUGGAGGUUCACUGGGGCUCAUAAAGGCCUCUCCUCAGCGAGGAAUGGCUCCUUUUGAAUGUUUGAUCUCAAAUCAGGUAGGACUACCCGCUGAACUUAAGCAUAUCAAUAAGCGGAGGCU